AUGGCUAAUGACUCUGGAGUGUCCUCUCUUUAUAUCCUGCAUGUUGUAAUGGAUUAUGUCAUCAGAAAAUCAUCUUUUUCUACAGAGAGAGCUGAAGAUACUGAGGCUCGGGGCAAGCAAAAGGCAGGACUAAGAUGGAAACUCCACUCUUUCAACUCUAAUGACAGAUUUUUCCAUGACUCCACAAUGUUCUCUGAGGGUAAGUCAGGCUAUGCCACUUUUUCUCUGCUAAUCUUUCAUCUAUGGGCCCAUGUGGCCAAGUGUUCUCUUUCUCUUAUGGAAUAGGAGAUGGAAACCUCAAUGAAUUAGUUGAUGGCUCUCAGACAGGAGGGUAUAUGCUUGGGGAAAGUGAGGCUCUUCAGAUUGAUUAUCUCAGAAUUUAGAUUCCAGAGAAAAAGAAGGCAAUAAGAAAUACUAUAGUUUUGCCUCGUCUAUAGAGUUUCAAGGAAUCAGAGCAUCUGGUUCAGAAUAUUUGAGGUUGUUCUUUGCCAACUCCUAGGCUGCAGAGUUUCUCAACACAUGGGCUGCAGACGAUGUAGUUCAGAAUCUCUGGGUCUUAAAAAAAAAUGCAUAUUCUCUAUAAAUACUCCUUCCAUAGGAGAUCAAAACCUCUGUGGUUAGGACCUGAGAAUGUGAAUUUUAAUGACCUCUGCAGGUUAUGAUGCAAAAUACAGCUUUGUUACUGAAGGUGGGAUCUGGCUGCUUGAUUCUCUAAAACCACUAAAGAAGCAAGACUGGAAAGGAAAGUUUGCUUUAUUUCAGAUGCUGGCAACUGGGUAGGUGGAGAGUGGACUUCUAUCCAAAUGCCAGUUCCCCCCACCACUGACAAUCAGUGGGCAAAAGUUUUUAUAGGUAGAGAGAGAGGGCUAUGUGCAUCAGCAGCACACUCAGCUCUGACAGUCAUCUUGAAAUUGGUCAUGUGGUAUCUGAUUAGUAUCAUCUUGAUUUUGUUAAGUACAGUUAAUCUUCAGUUCCAGGGUCAGUUUGUUCCCAUUUCUUUGAGGCCGGUUCUCAGAAUCAUGGCAGCUGAUGUCAUGGCUACAGUCUGGUCACCAUGUAGUUAACUUCUUCCAUCUGGUGGGGGUUUCAGUAUCUACAAGAGGGCUCACAGGACAUGGCUCAGAAUAUUAUCUAUUGCCCUUGAGAAGGAACUAAAGGUACUUGACUUUGCUUAAUCACUAAACUCUUAUUAUUUGGUCUCAUUUGACUGUUUUCCUUUGCUUCUGUAUUUUCUCAUUUUUAUAAUUAAACUUAUUCUUUGGCUAAAGUUUUCCCCCAGAUGAAAGGCAGGUGGAGGACAUGGUGGGGGAAGGACCAUAGGGUCCUGCUCCAUUUCAUUUUGGGAUCCAUUAAUAAGAAACAUCAAUAAUGGCAUUUAUUGAGUACCCACUUUGGCAAACAGCCAAUCAGACACGGCUAUUUAUUGUUUAAUCUGAACACCUUUAUGAGAACCAUUUUCAUUUUCUUAGUGAGGAGCUGAGAUUCAGGAAGCUUAAGUACCCUUUCAAACUCAACUGGCCCUUGAGUAAUACACCUGGGAUUCCUUCCUUGCCUUCCUUCCAGCCGUCUUCCUUCCUCAGCACCAGAUUAAGUGAGGAGAGUGGGAGGGUUCCAUGUUGAUCCCUCCAUCCUGCUAGAUAGCCCAUGUAAAUAGGUUUUCUGGGUUUAUUAGGAAUUUGGGCAUGUAGUUUAAGAAAAGGUACUCAGAAAAAAACUAUAUGAUGUGAAUGGACUGAAGAGAAUCACACAUAAAAACAGUCCUGUCAAAUUCUUCAUACUCUAGGAUUUCCCAUUGUGGCUCAGCUGGUUAAAAACCUCACAUAGAGUCUGUGAGAAUGAGGGUUUGAUCCCUUGCCUUGCUCAGUGCAUUAAGGAUCUGGCAUUGCCACAAGUUGAAGUGUAGGUCACAGAUGCAGCUCAAAUCCGGUGUUGUCAUGGCUGUGAUGUAGGCCUCAGCUGAAGUUCUGAUUCAACCCUGUAAAAAGAAAACAGAAAAAAUUUGUUUUCAUAUUCUAGCUUUGGGGUUGCAGCAGGAUUUCUCAACUUCAGGGCUAUUGAUGUUUGAGAUCUGGUAAAUUGUUAUGGGGGACUGUCCUGUGCAUUGCAGAAUAUUUAGCAACAUCCCUGGGCUCUACCCAACAGAUGCCAAUAGCAACUCCUCCUCCCCUCCAGUGGUGAUAACCAAAAAUGUGUGCAGAUACUGCCAAAUGACUACUGGAGGAAAAAAAAAUCAUCCUGGUGGAGAACUGGGUUGAAAAAAAAAUCAUCCUGGUGGAGAACUGGGUUGAAAAAAAAAAUUUUCGUAAAAGCCCAUCCUGGUGGCUUUGCUGAUAGAGAAUUUUACCUAUGCCUGGAAACAGGGAACGAGGCCUUGUCCAGAGGGGAAAUUCCAGUGUGUUCAGGUCUGCUUGACACCAGUCCUUAGAGUGCAUGUUUAGGUUGGCCCCUUCCUUUAGGUGGGGCCUCACCUCAGGGAAUAGAGGAGAGAAGGAAAAUAGAUAUACAAAAAUCUGACCUUGAAUCAGGGCUGACAGAGCAACAGAGUAGCAGAAGAUGCACCAGGGGCAAGCUCUUGCUUGGCAUUGAGAUUGUCUUUUUUUGGAAGUAAUUAAAAAAAAACCAAAAACAGAAUCAUUUCAUCUGAGUUGGGAAAGCAGUAAAUAAUUAAGCUAAUUUGUUUGUGUAUGUGGUUCAAAGAAGCCUCCAGAAACCAUGGUCCCUAAUUCUAAAUGGAGAAGCUGAGAAGGAAGGCAAAGCCUCAUCAGUGUAAUGUACUAGAUGGUGGGGCUGAGAAAGGGCUGACUUGAAUUAUUCAUCUUUGACAUCUGGAAGGUCAAUUUGGUGUUUACAACUUGAUUAUAUUUCAGAUUAGCAUACACUUUGUUGUCAAAUGUUUCUAAGGCCACAAUUAACUAUUUAAGCACUCUGCAAAUUACUUAAAUCCAUGACUAACAAGUAUUCAACUUAGACUGGGUACAGCAGCAACACGUUGAUCUUUAUUUCUUACAUAUUCUCUCUGACCGAACCAAGUUUUCACAUCUUGCCUUUUUUUUUCCUUUUCUCAUUUAUUUAUUAGAUUUUAGUUAUUUUUCCUCUUUUGAUCCUUUACCUGUUUUCCACAUUUACAUCCAUUGUUCCUCAUUAGAUAUUCUGUAGCAUCCAGGGGUUUCCUAGCCACUGGUCUUUGGUGCCUUAAGUCUUCUGGGUCCUUGAAACCCUUGAAAUCAUCUGCCACAUUUUGUGAGGAUGGACCUGCUUCCCUCAUCACAGCAGGACCUUAGACACCCUCAGAUUCCCAAAAGAUCUCGACCUAAAAACGGUAAAGUCCGCUGAGGGACAUCUGCUCCAGACUUUCAGCACAGAAGGAGGAGAGCAUGUGUAGGCUCUUUGCUCUGUUUCCUCAUUUAACCCCCUCCCAGACUCUGUAUGACAUUGGCGAUGUUGUUUUUAAUGGAUAGUUGAGAAUGUAAAAGCUUGGAGAGAUUUGGUAGUCACCAAGGUGAUCCUGCUUUCAAGGGGCUCAAUGGUCAGAAUUUAAGUGGCCCUUUUCAAGAUUGACUCAAAAGCCUCUUUCCAAGCCUCCAAUAAGAUUGGGCAGUUGAUAAUUGUGCUAAAGUAGAGAAGACAGAGGACAUGGAGGCAGAGCUCAUAACCCCAUGCCAUCCUCAAAGGCAUGAGAAGUAGGACUCAAAUGAACUGUGAUUAGUUUCUUGGGAAGAAGGAUUAUCGAAACAAGGACACUCUGCAUUACAUUAAUAUAAUACUUUAGCAGCUUGCACUACUGUUUGUACUCUCUGAAUGCUAUGCUAACAGAAGUGCUGUGCUAACAUAAAAGGCUGAUUUCAAUAGAUAUUAAUCAUAAUUCAGUUUUACUAAUUUGUAGAAAACUCAGUUUUUAACAUUUAAACUCUUACAAAUAUUCAUUUAUGACCAAUGAACCAUCCAGUAUAAAUGAAUGGCAAGUUUUAAAAUAGUUAACUUUGAAAUUGUAAUUUCAAUAAUGAUCUCAUUUAUAUUGAGUGCCUACUACUCCCUGCCAUAAAUAAAAAGUUUAUUAGAAUGUGGUCA
rnacentral:lncRNA from 1 species